CCUGGAGGAACUCAGCAGGUCAAGCAGCAUCUACGGGAGGAAUCAACAGUCACUAUUUCGGGAUAAGACCCUUCAUGAGGACUGGAAAUGAAGGGAAGGAAGCCCGAAUAAGAAGGCAGGUGGAGAGGGAGUACAGUCUGGCAGAUGAUAAGUGAAACCAGGGUUCUUUUGAAGACCCUGACCUGGAGUUACACGUUGACUUCGUUCUUUGCGGAAUGGGACCCGCCUUCAGAGUUUCACGACUGGCCGUUAUUUGAUAUACCAAGGAUGUGGCCUUUGAGAUUAGUUCGCCUUCGGAGUUCUGGGAUCACGGGCGGACCGAAGUGCAUGACCUGCUGUGAAUAUUGGAAUUGCUGGAUUUAGAAAGAUGCUACCAACUGAGGUACAGUCGUGCCAAUCAAGACAUUUGUCUGGGGAUAAUCCAAGUUAGAACACCUGUCAUUUUCUUGGUGUGAGAUGCAUAGUUAAUGACUUCAAUCAUUAUGUAAAACACAUUUCAGCCCAUACUAAUAAAUUGCAGCACAAAGCUCUAGACUACAACUGUUGUGGAACUGUCUCAUGCAUUUUCAGCACAUUGCAAUCCUACUUUAUUCACAUUUUAAAGAACACGCUGCUGCCUAUUUGGAUUUAUACAUGGCAUUUAAUAAGGAACAGCAUCAAAGGCAAAGCAUGAGAUUUUAGGUCACAGUGCGCUAGCAUGAACUGAAGAGAAGAUAGAGUUGAAAAAGAUAUGUAGAUAGGAUCAUUUACUCUAUCCACUGCUUCCAGUUUAAUCUUCUUUCCAUUGGUGAGAUCCGACAUAGAUUGCGGAGCUGUUUCUUCGAGUACCUUUGCUCAAGCUGCCACAACAGGCAAAAUUACCCAGAGGACACCCAUUUUAAUUUACUACCCAUUCCCAUUCAAACAUGUCAGUCCGUGACCUCCUUUACUGCCAUGAUGAGGCCACUUUCAGUUUGGAAGAGCAACGGCUCAUAUCUUUCUGGGUAGCCUCCGAACCUGAUGGCAGCAAUAUUGAAAUCUUUAACUUGUGGUACUUUCUCCCCCUUGUCAUCUUUUUUUCCAUUCCCCAUUCUGGCUCUCAUUUGACUCAUUCUCCUCUCCUCACCUGCCUAUCACCUGCUUCAGGUGCCCGUCCUCCUUCCCUUUCUCUCAUGGUCCACUCUCCUCUCCUAGUAGACUCCUCCUUCAGCCCUUUUCUAUCACCUUCCGGCUCUU